GUUAGGCAGCAGAUUAGAGCCAUUAGACCCUUAGUAUAGGAGUAAAAUCUAGAUACUAGUAGUUAUACCGAAGGUGGUUUAUUUGAGAUGCUGAGGCUGUGAAAGCUUUAAGGGAAACUGGGAUUGGAUACCCCACUAUUUUUAGCUAUAAAUUUACUUUUAAUAUACCAGAGUACUACGAAUAAAAAGUUUAAAACUCAAAGGGCUUGGCGGUGUUUUAGACCUCUCAGGGGAACCUGUCUCAUAAUCGACAGUCCACGUUAAACCUAACCCUUUAUAGUAAUUCAGCUUGUAUACCGUCGUCGUCAGGUAACUUCUUAAAAUAUAGUAGUUAGCUAGAAAAUUUUAUUGAUUAAAACGUCAGAUCAAGGUGCAGCCAAUGAAAGGGGGAGGAUGGGUUACAAUUAUAGAUUUAUAAUUACGGAAAGGGCUUAGAAAUAAAGCAACUUAAAGGAGGACUUGAAAGUAAUUUUAAUUACAUAAAUAGGAUGAAUGCGGCUCUGAAACGUG
rnacentral:rRNA from 1 species